rnacentral:rRNA from 1 species
AGAGUUUGAUCAUGGCUCAGGACGAACGCUGGCGGCGUGCUUAACACAUGCAAGUCGAGCGGAAAGGCCCUUCGGGGUACUCGAGCGGCGAACGGGUGAGUAACACGUGAGCAACCUGCCCCUAGCUCUGGGAUAGCUCCGGGAAACCGGGAUUAAUACCAGAUACGACCACUUUAGACAUCUUUUGUGGUGGAAAGGAUUCCGGCUGGGGAUGGGCUCGCGGCCUAUCAGCUUGUUGGUGGGGUAACGGCCUACCAAGGCGACGACGGGUAGCCGGCCUGAGAGGGCGACCGGCCACACUGGGACUGAGACACGGCCCAGACUCCUACGGGAGGCAGCAGUGGGGAAUAUUGCGCAAUGGGCGAAAGCCUGACGCAGCGACGCCGCGUGGGGGAUGAAGGCCUUCGGGUUGUAAACCCCUUUCAGCAGGGACGAAGCGAAAGUGACGGUACCUGCAGAAGAAGCGCCGGCUAACUACGUGCCAGCAGCCGCGGUAAUACGUAGGGCGCAAGCGUUGUCCGGAAUUAUUGGGCGUAAAGAGCUCGUAGGCGGUCUGUUGCGUCCGCUGUGAAAUCUCGGGGCUUAACCCCGAGCCUGCAGUGGAUACGGGCAGACUAGAGGUAGGUAGGGGAGAAUGGAAUUCCCGGUGUAGCGGUGAAAUGCGCAGAUAUCGGGAGGAACACCGGUGGCGAAGGCGGUUCUCUGGGCCUUACCUGACGCUGAGGAGCGAAAGCGUGGGGAGCGAACAGGAUUAGAUACCCCCGUAGUCC